CAAAUCGGUUCCUUCAAAAAGCAUAAAUCUUCGCCUUUUUCUAAAGAUUUCCGUGGAGGGGAACAACUCAAUGAGUUACCCAAAAUUUUUUUAUAGCCCAUUCGGUGGGGUUU